AUUGAACGCUGGCGGCAUGCCUUACACAUGCAAGUCGAACGGCAGCGCGGGGCAACCUGGCGGCGAGUGGCGAACGGGUGAGUAAUAUAUCGGAACGUACCCUGGAGUGGGGGAUAACGUAGCGAAAGUUACGCUAAUGCCGCAUACGAUCCAAGGAUGAAAGCAGGGGACCGCAAGGCCUUGUGCUCCAGGAGCGGCCGAUAUCUGAUUAGCUAGUUGGUGGGGUAAAGCCUACCAAGGCAUCGAUCAGUAGCUGGUCUGAGAGGACGACCAGCCACACUGGAACUGAGACACGGUCCAGACUCCUACGGGAGGCAGCAGUGGGAAUUUUGGACAAUGGGCGCAAGCCUGAUCCAGCAAUGCCGCGUGAGUGAAGAAGGCCUGGUGUAAGACGUCUUUGUUCUAGGGAAGAAACGG
rnacentral:rRNA from 1 species